AUUGAACGCUGGCGGAAUGCUUUACACAUGCAGGUCGAGCGGCAGCGCGGGGCAACCUGGCGGCGAGCGGCGAACGGGUGAGUAAUGUAUCGGAACGUGGCCUGUCGUGGGGGAUAGCCCGGUGAAAACCGGAUUAAUACCGCAUACGAUCGAGAGAUGACAGUGGGGGACCGCAAGGCCCCACGCGAUAGGAGCGGCCGAUAGCUGAUUAGCUAGUUGGUGGGGUAAAGCCCCACCAAGGCUUCGAUCAGUAGCUGGUCUGAGAGGAUGAUCAGCCACACUGGGACUGAGACACGGCCCAGACUCCUACGGGAGGCAGCAGUGGGGAAUUUUGGACAAUGGGGGCAACCCUGAUCCAGCCAUUCCGCGUGAGUGAAGAAGGCCUUCGGGUUGUAAAGCUCUUUUGUCCGGGAAGAAACGGUUUUGGCUAAUAACCAAGACUACUGACGGUACCGGAAGAAUAAGGACCGGCUAACUACGUGCCAGCAGCCGCCGCAG
rnacentral:rRNA from 1 species